CCCUUAGAUGUUCUGGGCUGCACGCGCGCUACACUGAUGCGCUCAACGAGUUUAUGACCUUGCCCGGAAGGGUUGGGUAAUCUUUUCAAAACGCAUCGUGAUGGGGAUAGAUUAUUGCAAUUAUUAAUCUUCAACGAGGAAUUCCUAGUAAGCGCGAGUCAUCAGCUCGUGCUGAUUACGUCCCUGCCCUUUGUACACACCGCCCGUCGCUCCUACCGACUGAGUGAUCCGGUGAAUAAUUCGGACUGCGGCAAUGUUCAGCUCCUGAAUGUUGCUGCGGAAAGUUUAGUGAACCUUAUCACUUAGAGGAAGGAGAAGUCGUAACA
rnacentral:rRNA from 1 species